rnacentral:rRNA from 1 species
GAUGAACGCUGGCGGCGUGCCUAAUACAUGCAAGUCGAACGCACAGCGAAAGGUGCUUGCACCUUUCAAGUGAGUGGCGAACGGGUGAGUAACACGUGGACAACCUGCCUCAAGGCUGGGGAUAACAUGUGGAAACAGAUGCUAAUGCCGAAUAAAACUCAGUGUCGCAUGACACAAAGUUAAAAGGCGCUUUGGCGUCACCUAGAGAUGGAUCCGCGGUGCAUUAGUUAGUUGGUGGGGUAAAGGCCUACCAAGACAAUGAUGCAUAGCCGGGUUGAGAGACUGAUCGGCCACAUGGGGACUGAGACACGGCCCAAACACCUACGGGAGGCUGCAGUAGGGAAUCUUCAACAAUGGGCGAAAGCCUGAUGGAGCAACGCCGCGUGUGUGAUGAAGGCUUUCGGGUCGUAAAGCACUGUUGUAUGGGAAGAACAGCUAGAAUAGGGAAUGAUUUUAGUUUGACGGUACCAUACCAGAAAGGGACGGCUAAAUACGUGCCAGCAGCCGCAGUAA